GUGAGGAAUAUUGGUCAAUGGGCGAGAGCCUGAACCAGCCAAGUCGCGUGAAGGAAGAAGGAUCUAUGGUUCGUAAACUUCUUUUGCAGGGGAAUAAAGUGCAGGACGUGUCCUGUUUUGUAUGUACCCUGAGAAUAAGGAUCGGCUAACUCCGUGCCAGCAGCCGCGGUAAUACGGAGGAUCCGAGCGUUAUCCGGAUUUAUUGGGUUUAAAGGGUGCGUAGGUGGUUUGAUAAGUCAGCGGUGAAAGUUUGCAGCUUAACUGUAAAAAUGCCGUUGAAACUGUCGGACUUGAGUGUAAAUGAUGUAGGCGGAAUGCGUGGUGUAGCGGUGAAAUGCAUAGAUAUCACGCAGAACUCCGAUUGCGAAGGCAGCUUACUAAGCUACAACUGACACUGAAGCACGAAAGCGUGGGGAUCAAACAGGAUUAGAAACCCGGGUAGUCC
rnacentral:rRNA from 1 species